GUACUACCGACGAGUCUCAAACAGGACGGAACAGAUGUCCAGUGC
rnacentral:hammerhead_ribozyme from 1 species